CUAUGUGGCUCUGCUAUUAGUUUUCCCUAAAAUUUUCAUGUCAAGACACAUAUUUGACUCCUCAAAAUGGACUCUGUUACUAUUGAAAGCAUAACCUUGUCUAAAGUUCGUACCACAUCAGAGCAUUAUACGAUGAAGUGACAAUCAGAGCCCAGAAAAUUAAACUACAUGAUUUUGCACAAAAAUCCAUCUCUGUAAUAAGAAUUAAGAAUAUGCUAUAGUUUCAGUCAUAGACAGAGAUAAAAUGGUUAUUAUGUU
rnacentral:lncRNA from 1 species